rnacentral:rRNA from 1 species
GAUGAACGCUGGCGGCGUGCCUAAUACAUGCAAGUCGAGCGAACAGACGAUGAGCUUGCUGCGCUGACGUUAGCGGCGGACGGGUGAGUAACACGUGGAUAACCUACCUAUAAGACUGGGAUAACCUCGGGAAACCGGAGCUAAUACCGGAUAAUAUACUGAACCGUAUGGGUCAAUAGUGAAAGACGGCUUUGCGGUCACUUAUAGAUGGAUCCGCGCCGCAUUAGGUAGUUGGUAAGGUAACGGCUUAUCAAGGGAACGAGGCGUAGCCGACCUGAGAGGGUGAUAGGCCACACUGGAACUGAGACACGGUCCAUACUCCUACGAGAGGCAGCAGUAUGGAAUCUUACGCAGUGGGCGAAAGCUUGACGGAGCAACGCCGCGUGUGUUAUGAAGGUCUUCCGUGCGUGAAGCUCUGUUUUGAGUUAUGAACAGAUUUGUAAUUAGCUAUGCCCUUAGUGACGGUACCGAGUCAGGAAGCAACGGCUAACUACGUG